rnacentral:misc_RNA from 1 species
UCUCCGUAGGUGAACCUGCGGAGGGAUCAUUACAGAGUUCUCGCCCUCGCGGGUAGAUCUCCCACCCACUGUUAUCGUUACUGUGUUGCUUUGGCGGGCCGCCGGGCCCCGCUCGGCCGCCGGCUCCGGCUGGCGCGCGCCCGCCAGAGGCCCAGCAAACUCUGAAUGUUAGUGUCGUCUGAGUACUAUAUAAUAGUUAAAACUUUCGACAACGGAUCUCUUGGUUCUG